rnacentral:rRNA from 1 species
CAAUAGCGUAUAUUAAAGUUGUUGCAGUUAAAAAGCUCGUAGUUGAUCAUUUGUUGGAUGCAGUGGUCCAAAUUGGCUCCGUCUGCGUCCGGCAUACUUGGGUAGAACCUUUCUGGCAUUAAGUUGUCGGGAUGGGGAAGCUCCUCUUUUACUGUGAAAAAAUCAGAGUGUUCCAAACAGGCUUACGCCGAUGAAUGUAUUAGCAUGGAAUAAUGAGAUAGGACUUUGGUACUAUUUUGUUGGUUUGUGCACCAAAGUAAUGGUUAACAGGGACAGUUGGGGGUAUUCGUAUUCCAUUGUCAGAGGUGAAAUUCUUGGAUUUUUGGAAGACGAACUACUGCGACAGCAUUUACCAAGGAUGUUUNCAUUAA